CAUUUGCAGGGAAUCAGGGAGUGGCAGUGAAGAGAUUGAUGCAUGUGGCUGUUCAUUUCACCCUUCCUGCCCAAAUUUGAUUAUACAUUCAUUUUCUGUUAAUGUCUUACACAGGGAUCUUCCUGCAGCUCCUGAAAGCAGGCCAAUUCUGACCAGGGCAUGAUGGCUCCUCCUCCCACCUUCCUCUGCAGUUUGGUGCCACUACUGUACCCAAGUUCCUUCAAAAACAAAGAACUCAGUUUCCCAGUUAUCUCUGCACCCCCUGGUCCUGAGGCAGGAAUAUGUAGGUAUCACGGGAUUUUUUAAGGUUUUUGCUGCUCUAUAUAGGAAGAUGGAUUGGAUGCUUGGGAGAUGGAGAAGGUCAAUGAAAAGAACAAAUGAGGGGAAAGUUACAAGCAUCACUAAACAGAUUUCCUCUGGUGUUCACUGGAAUGUCAUAGGAAUUUCAUCUCUCAGCUCUCUUGACUCAGUUACCAUAGUAUCUUUUUGUUUCAAGAGGCACAGCUGAGCCCACUUUCCUCCUUGGACUCAAGACAGUGCUUUUGCAACCUCCUUCCAUUCAAUAAGGGAGUAUCCUUUUAGGACACCAUUAAUCCCCAGCUUCUUUUUUUGCAUUAGAUUUUAUAAGGUAAGUAAGACACUCAUAUUCAGAGGGACUAACACAGGUC